GUACUCCAUUCGAAAGCUGAUCAUCACCAAUCGCUCCGACUGCUGUACAUCCCAACUUUCGAAUUUUGAGAUAAGGAUUGGCUUAUCUCUGAAUAACAAUGGCAACUCUAAUCCCACAUGUGGUGGAAAACAUUCACUGAGCACUGUAAUCACCAAGAGUAUCACGUGUCCACAGCCCAUGAUGGGAAGAUAUGUAAAUAUUAUACUUCCUGGACCACACAAAAUUCUUACAUUAUGUGAAGUGGAAGUGUAUGCCUAAAGGUCUAAAACGUUUUCUGAUUGAAACUAUAGUGUUGAACGUAUAAUAAUUAAACAUGCUUGUAGAGUAUAUUACGGUAUAAAAUUAUAAAGUGUAAACUACUGUUAUAUUCCACAAAGGCUUAACCCUAAAUUUCCUCAGCCAAUAACUGGCUAAAAUGAGUUAUUAUAGGUAAGAUAUUUUAGUUAUUAACCUCCCUCCAACUAGAAAACACGUGUACACUACACACGUAAAAAUCUCACAACUUGUCAACAAGAUGUGUUCGCAACAGGCAAUUACAAUUUUAA